ACUACUAUCUUCGAUCAGCUUAUCCAUAUUCACAUACUAUACUUUCUGGGUCAUCAUCCUGCCAUUUGUAGAUAGUGAUCACUUCAUCCACAAGUACUUCUUGCCCCAAGACUAUGCCAUUCUCGUACCUGUCUUCGCUGGCAUAACCCUCCUCUCUCUCCUUUCCGUAUUUAUCGGCAUGGUCAUGCUCAAAUCAAAAAAGAAGAAGGCAUAAUUUCAACCUUAGCUUUAGACAAAGUUCUGAUUAUUUUCUUAAGUUGUGCCUACUUUGUUUUGGUCUUUGAGAUUAUUAGUCCUGAAGUUUAAAUGGUGUAGUUGAAGCCGUCCGAGACGUCCUAUUGUCUGAAUACGUAAAGACAUACUAUAAAAUUCAAGUUUUGGUUUUCUUGGAAAUCUUUAUCUUAUUAAUCUGACUGAUCAUCAGAAACAUUAUGUUAUGGUGGAUUUUAGGCUC